GCGGAAAGUGAAAGCAAGUUGUCUAGGGAUGUCACCAACCGUCCCUAGAGCAAGUGACAAAGGGUUUACUAGUUGGUACCCAAGGUUUUAAGUUCGAAUCCUAGUUGAUUCACAUUUCCAGCUAAGUUUAUUUCUAAAUGAAAUAAAUGAAGCGGGUAGUAUGCUAUCUAUCUCUCUAAAAAAAAAAAGUUGUCUAGGGAUGUGAUCAAUGGGUAUGGAUAUUCAAAAUAUUAUCCGAAUCCGAACCCGAACGGGGCGGUUUUAUCAGAGCUAAACGAAUAUGAAUUCGGUUAUGGAUAUAGAAAAUAAAAAUUCGACGGAUAUGGAUACGGGUAUAGAUUUUGUAUUUACUUGACCCGAACCCGAAUCCGAAUAAAUUAUAUAUAUACAUAAUCUAUUUUUAUUUAUUUAUAUAAUAUAUAUAAUAUUUAAUAAUUUUUAUCCAUUAGAUCUUCAUCCAAUAGUAUGGAUUUUUAAAAUCUGCCGGGUUGGGGUCCGGGUCCGGGUUCGGGUUUUGAGUUUUUGGUCGGGGACGGAUAUGGUUAUGGAUUUUUAAAACCUAUUGGGUUCGGGUCCGGAUUUGAAUUUUAAUUUUAUUUUUGGAUUUGAAUUUGGGUUUUUGAAAACCCGACCGAAACCC
rnacentral:lncRNA from 1 species